UUUUUUCACAGUGUGAAUGGCGGCUGAAAGGAGUGUGUGUGUGUGUGUGGUGAGUGGUGAGUGGUGAGUGGUGAGUGGUGAUUGUUUGAAUGUUUGAAUGUUUGAGUGUGUGAGUGUGUAUAUCUUUAAAAACCUACACAGUGAUCUUAUUUGAUCCGGUCUGAUUCGGCCUCUGCUCAGACUGGAGAUGAUAGGAAAGACGCUCUGCAGCCUCCGCGGCACUGAGCAGCAGCACGUAUUUAAGCUUAGGGGCCUCCACGCUGCACGGUGUGGUUCAGAUGUGAUGAGUUGAUCAGAUAUACUAGUCCAGGGUGAGUUUGGGGUUCACCCCCCGAACUUCACGACGGACACUGAGUAAAGAGGCGAUUCUGAUCUAA